ACGGGUGAGUAACGCGUGGGAAUCUACCCAUCCCUACGGAAUAACGCAUGGAAACGUGUGCUAAUACCGUAUACGCCCUACGGGGGAAAGAUUUAUCGGGGAUGGAUGAGCCCGCGUUGGAUUAGCUAGUUGGUGGGGUAAAGGCCUACCAAGGCGACGAUCCAUAGCUGGUCUGAGAGGAUGAUCAGCCACAUUGGGACUGAGACACGGCCCAAACUCCUACGGGAGGCAGCAGUGGGGAAUAUUGGACAAUGGGCGCAAGCCUGAUCCAGCCAUGCCGCGUGAGUGAUGAAGGCCUUAGGGUUGUAAAGCUCUUUCACCGGAGAAGAUAAUGACGGUAUCCGGAGAAGAAGCCCCGGCUAACUUCGUGCCAGCAGCCGCGGUAAUACGAAGGGGGCUAGCGUUGUUCGGAAUUACUGGGCGUAAAGCGCACGUAGGCGGAUCGAUCAGUCAGGGGUGAAAUCCCAGAGCUCAACUCUGGAACUGCCUUUGAUACUGUCGAUCUGGAGUAUGGAAGAGGUGAGUGGAAUUCCGAGU
rnacentral:rRNA from 1 species